AUAGUCUUUGCUCCUGUGCUCUGGGACUUCCUGAGCCAGGGCUGCAGCUCUGUGGAGCCAACUUCUCAGCCCAUCACUAAGCAUCGUGUUGCCGGCUGGCUCUGUGCAACCUGGGUUGCAGCUCCAACAACUCCCAGCAGGAUGGGCCCACUCAGUCCCAACCUUGGAGAGAGUCCCAGUAAACGCCGACUGAGGGUAGAUGAUGUGACUAGGCGGGAAACCUCUUUCGAAAGAGCAAUCCAGUCUUGGUCUGGGCAGUUCUUUGCUCUCCUGUUUCUCAGCAGCACUUGAACUCAACAGGCCUCAAGGUCUUGGGAAUUCCACCAAGUAUUUCCACCAGGAACUUAGUCAUGAAAACAAAAAUGCAUGCAGUUUUCUUGGAACAGCUGGAGCAGUUUUGAAACUCAGGUGUGAAAGCCACCUGAUUUUUCCACUCUGAAUUAGUUGGUAUUAAUGCAGCAGACCUGCCAGCCAGGCUCUUGUGUUACUUCUUGUUAUGCAUGCUCUGCCAUCCCUCUCAAACACAAAGAUUUAAAACUGUAUUUAUAGAGCACUCUGAAGUAUAUACACAGCUGGAAAAUUGCUGAGAAGACUUUUCCUGCCACAGAGAGAUUAAAAGCUCAUUCUCACAGAUAGGGUAUGUGGAAUAAGAGCACAGCGCUGAAGAGACUUUCCUUGUGGGGAAUUGGCACAGGCUCUUUUCACUCCAGGAAAAAGCCUCCAGGAACAGAGUGAGGGUGGAAGGGGGGUGUUGCUGCUCUCGUCUCCAGGGACCAUCUAGUGUAAGGUAUGCAUAGGUAAUCAAGAUUUUAGCAUAGCUGUAGAAGCCAUUCACAGAUCUAGCAUAUGUUCUUGAAUGGCUACCCCGUAGUUAUCUAGUGAAGAUUCUUGUAUGCAGUACUAUGAUACUAUUGCUUGAGUCAGUUAAAUGGAACUUAGACUGAAAACAUCCCUUGUGAAUACAACGUAAACAAGUUCUCCAGGACUGAGAAGUCCACAGAUGGAGUAAAGCAUCUGAGUAGGAUGAAAUAAAGAGAUGAAGAUGAUGACUAGAAAAAGGAGCAAUUCUGGGAAUUGAUUGAACUACUAAUUCACAACAGUGUAUAUCAAGCAAUCGUUAAUAUAAAAAUUUCAAAAUUUUUCUCCUAAAUUGGACAAAAGCAUCCUAAUCUCCGAUAUUCAGGGUAGACAUUAAAAAAAAAAACACAUGGUGGCCCAUGUGGUUAUGCUUUAGCUACUGAAUGGACUCUACAGACACUGGUCUACUGGAUGAGAGAUUGGGGAACUUAGAGGUGCUCAUCUGGAAACACUGGAGGAUGAGGAAGUAUCCUUGGAGAUGGAGAUGGCUUCCUGUGGGCACUCUCUACUGCCUAGGAUGGCGUGUGAAAUGGAGGAUGUAGAUCUGACCUGAUAUGAGUUCUUAUGACAGAAUCAUUGUGCCAACUCUUUCAUGAAAUAUACACGUAUGGAAAUGGAAAUGCUGUACUAUGCCCUCACUAGGGAAAUGUGAUAACUGAAUCUUUUUAGAAAUGGUUUGGACUGUUUGCAGUCAGGUAAUUUUUGUAAUUCUGAAGGCUCUUGUAACUCAGCAUAAGGUUUGUUAAUGUUGAGGAAAUAACAAUGAUUAGGAUCUGCCAACAAAAUGACCCUCUUCUAAUAAUGAAAAGAUGUUAUUGUGACCUAACAGAUGGAAGAAAAAAAAAUAAAGUUGUUUACCAAAUGGUAGGGUAAGAAGUAAGAAAAGGAUGCUGAGUUAAAAUAGAUUGCAGAGGGGGUAUAUUGACCAGAUUGUUUUGGAGAAGAAAUAAUUUAUUCUGCUAGAAGUAAUUCUGUCUGAAGUAGAAUGGAGGUUAAACUUCUGACUGGCCGAUUCAUCUGGAUUUUGUUAAUUGAAAUUAAAAAUUUAUAUAU
rnacentral:lncRNA from 7 species